UGUAGUUAUGAAUUUGAACUGCAGUACCCAUUUUAAACACUAGGUGUCAGAGUUACACAUUGCUCGUAGAUCCUACCGAUUGUCUUUAUAAUUACUGGUGUCAAACUGUAAAGAAAUGUAUUUAUUUCUCAGGGAUACAAGCAGAAAAAAAUACAAACAUACAUAGAAAACAAGUUACAGAGGAGCUCCACACAUUUGCCCCCGUGACUUUAAAAGGUGUUUUCAAUUCAUGAGAUAAAACGAUACCGUUUCUUUUAUGCAGGCCCCUGUUUUAGCUAGUCAAGCUAAUAUAACACAUCAUGAGGGUGACGUUUUUCUUCUCUGUUCAUGUGCAGUAGUAAAGAGGCAGGUGAUAAAGCUGAGGAUGAAGCCAGAGAACUCCUCUAUGGAUCUAAAUGACCCUGCUGUCAAAGCAGACAUCCUGAACAAGCUCCAGGACCGGCUGAAGAAGAAUGGACUGAGUGGAGUCACCCUGAAGUGGAGAGAGCAGCCUGAUGGGAAAGUUUUCCACAAGGAGAGGAAAAUGUCUAAGAAGAAGAAAAAAAGAGAAAAGACUGAACUGUGAAAGUGAAAUAUAGCUGUAUAGUCUAUCUGUAAUUAGAGAUGGGACAGAUCUGAUCUAAUAUCCGUAACUAUAACUCAAGACCUACCUUUUUGGUCUGGCUUUUAACUGAAUCUCAUGUUAUCUCAUUUAGUUUUAUCUAUUAACAUAUUAUAUAUGAUAGUUUUUCAUUCUUUUAUUGUGUUGCUUUUGGCGUUUUAUUUUAUAACUUAUUACAUUUAUCUCUAGACUUGUGUGGCACAUUGCUGUGCUAUAAUUGUUUUUAGAUUUCUUCAUCCGUCUCUAUCACUUUUUCUAUAUUAUACAGCCGCCUCUAUUAUAUCGUUCUCUCCUUGUUUUACAUGUCAUUAUGACAGUUUCUCCUGAUGUUUAGAGUCAUGUAAUUCAAGUUGUUAUGGUAAUCCUCCAGUCACUACAGGCUUUUUCCUGUUGGAGUUGUGUAUUCAUGUAUUUUUAUGUAUUUGGAUUAUCUAUCCAUAGGUAUGUGGACCUUCAAUAAGAAUGUCUUGCAUAGUUUAUAUUAUAUAUUUUUCCUGGUUUUGUAUGACACGACCUGUCAGGUGACCUCAGGGGUUGUAUAUGUGGUGUGUCUAUUCACUUGUUCAUGUCUGAUGAAGGGCGAGGGCCGAAUCAUUACAUGAGGUGAUAUUUCCAUUAAAUUUCAUUUCAUUAGAGCA